UACGUAGGGGGCAAGCGUUGUCCGGAAUCAUUGGGCGUAAAGCGCGUGUAGGCGGUCCGGUAAGUCCGCUGUGAAAGUCGGGGGCUCAACCCUCGGAUGCCGGUGGAUACUGUCGGGCUUGAGUACGGAAGAGGCGAGUGGAAUUCCUGGUGUAGCGGUGAAAUGCGCAGAUAUCAGGAGGAACACCAAUGCGAAGGCAGCUCGCUGGGACGUUACUGACGCUGAGACGCGAAAGCGUGGGGAGCAAACAGG
rnacentral:rRNA from 1 species